GGGAAGGUGGCUUAGUGGUAGAGUGCUUGCCUAGCAUGCAUGAGGUCCUGGGUUCAAUUCCUCAGUCUUCCCU
rfam:Dipodomys ordii contig_79544, whole genome shotgun sequence.